rnacentral:rRNA from 1 species
CCCUUAGAUGUCCUGGGCCGCACGCGCGUUACACUGAUGCAUUCAACGAGCUUAUAACCUUGGCCGAGAGGCCUGGGCAAUCUUGUUAACGUGCAUCGUGAUAGGGAUAGAUUAUUGAAAUUAUUAAUCUUGAACGAGGAAUUCCUAGUAAACGCAGAUCAUCAAUCUGCAUUGAUUACGUCCCUGCCCUUUGUACACACCGCCCGUCGCACCUACCGAUUGGAUGGUCCGGUGAAAUCCUCGGAUCGAGCCGUGGGGCAACUCCGGUUCGAGAAGUUGAUUAAACCUUACCAUUUAGAGGAAGGUGAAGUCGUAACA